AUGGCGACGCCGUCUUCAUCACGCACGCAGGAGGAGAAGGAACUUGAGGAGAUGAUGGCUGAACUUGGGAUUGCUGAGGAGGAUUUGGAUGGUCUAGUUUUUGAAGAUGUGAUGUCGGAUGCUGCAGCCAACCCCCGCUGGCUCGCGAUUGGCAAAGUGCACACGUCCAAGGAGUAUGGCGACUACUGGUUCUACAAGAACAUGAGGAGUGCGUGGGAUUUAGCGCAAACAGUAAAGUUCAGAUCCUUGGGCGACAAUCUAUACACUAUGCAAUUUUCUUGUUUGGGAGAUUGGAUCAAGGUGAUGGAGGGUGGUCCGUGGGCCUUUAGAGGGCAGCCGGUGGUGCUUGCGGUCUAUGAUGGAUUCACAAAACCAUCCAUGAUUGAUUUGAACUGCUUUAAAAUAUGGAUUCAGAUACAUGAUCUGCCAGAUGGAUAUGGACCCUUGGUUAAACCUUUGGCUGCGAAGGUGGGGGCUCUAUGUGACGAUGAAGAUGACCCUGGUGACUUUGCUGGUAAUUUCUAUAGGGCCAGGGUUACCUUGGAUGUGAGAAAGCCUCUAAAAAACCAUGUUUCAAUUGUGAAAAAGAUGAAAAGGCAGAUUUUCAAGGUUAAGUAUGAGCGCCUUCCGGAUUGGUGUGCCGUUUGUGGGAUGAUUGGUCACUUAUAUACUGAGCAUGGGGAUGGUGUUCAUGACCAAAAAGCUUUGGUUUUCAAAGAACUGAGAGCAGGCUGGAGUAUGAGGGGAGGAGGUAGAGGAGGGGGCCAAACCCAGGAAUCUACUGAACACCCAGAAAAAUCAACAGCUCCAAAUGCUGCUAUGGACCUAGAUAAAGGGGCUGUGAUUGAGACACAGGAGGGGGAACAGAACAGAAAAAGGGGUGUUGCAAAUCCCUCGGAACAAGCUCCUCUGAAAAAUGAUCUGUUGUUACCAGGGCCGGGGGCUGUUCCUGCAAGUCCGCCGCCCAAGCAAGACUUGAAGAGAACCAAGUCUGAUAAUGCAUAUAAGAUCGUGGCCGGUUCUAAUGCUCAGAAGAAUGCUUCAUCUUUGGCGGGCUCCAUCGAGGAGCACCGCCGGAAUUAA
rnacentral:rRNA from 1 species